UACGUAGGGGGCAAGCGUUGUCCGGAAUGAUUGGGCGUAAAGGGCGCGUAGGCGGCCCUGUAAGUCUGGAGUGAAAGUCCCGUUUUCAAGAUGGGAAUUGCUUUGGAUACUGCGGGGCUUGAGUGCAGGAGAGGUCAUUGGAAUUCCCAGUGUAGCGGUGAAAUGCGUAGAGAUUGGGAGGAACACCAGUGGCGAAGGCGAGUGACUGGACUGUAACUGACGCUGAGGCGCGAAAGUGUGGGGAGCAAAC
rnacentral:rRNA from 1 species